rnacentral:lncRNA from 1 species
AGAUAAAUAUAGUCACGACUUACUUAGCCACAGGUGACCCCUACAUAUAGGAAGAUACCACUCUCGUCAAAGGAUACGCCAUCAUCCACUGGGAGUGGUUCUCUUACGUCUUUACAGACCAGAUAGGGGAGGGAGAAACAGCCCUGAAGCGUAAGAGGAACAAAUACCCCUUAGAGAUAAAAAGCCUAACGAGACACUUGAUGCAAUAUGCAUGUCAAUACAAAUAUACUUCAGACCAUACAAGCUUCAUUUCACUUUUCUCUUUUUUUUUUCUUUUGUACUUUUUUUACAAGGCAAUUAUAUAAAUUUAUUACAUGCAAUUCAUCAAGUGUCUUCAAUUCAUAUAGCAUGUUUGAAAACAAGAACAAUUCGACUCAUC